UAACACGAUUAAAAUAAACGGAUUCGACC
rnacentral:piRNA from 1 species